rnacentral:lncRNA from 1 species
AUGUCUGAAUCUGGUUCAUCCAAUCAUUGCUCAAAGCUGACUAUCCAAGAUCUCCUUUUGUUUAUCCACUCAUCCGUUGAUAGACACAAAUUGCUUCCACCUUUUG